rnacentral:rRNA from 1 species
AUUGAACGCUGGCGGCAGGCCUAACACAUGCAAGUCGAGCGGAUGAAGGGAGCUUGCUCCUGGAUUCAGCGGCGGACGGGUGAGUAAUGCCUAGGAAUCUGCCUGGUAGUGGGGGAUAACGUCGGGAAACGGGGGCUAAUCCCGCAUACGUCCUGAGGGGGAAGGUGGGGAAUCUUCGGACCUCACGCUAUAAGAUGACCCUAGGUCGGAUUAGCUAGUUGGUGGGGUAAAGGCCUACCAAGGCGACGAUCCGUAACUGGUCUGAGAGGAUGAUCAGUCACACUGGAACUGAGACACGGUCCAGACUCCUACGGGAGGCAGCAGUGGGGAAUAUUGGACAAUGGGCGAAAGCCUGAUCCAGCCAUGCCGCGUGUGUGAAGAAGGUCUUCGGAUUGUAAAGCACUUUAAGUUGGGAGGAAGGGCAGUAAGUUAAUACCUUGCUGUUUUGACGUUACCAACAGAAUAAGCACCGGCUAACUUCGUG